rnacentral:rRNA from 1 species
UACAAAGGGUAGCGAAGCUGGUGAGGUGGAGACCAAUCCCAAAAAGUAGGUCUCAGUUCGGAUUGUAGGCUGCAACUCGCCUACAUGAAGUCGGAAUCGCUAGUAAUCGCGGAUCAGCAUGCCGCGGUGAAUACGUUCCCGGGCCUU